CAAUAGCGUAUAUUAAAGUUGUUGCAGUUAAAAAGCUCGUAGUUGGACCUUGGACCUGGACAGGCGGUCCGCCUCACGGCGAGUACUGUCUUGCUGGGUCUUUCCUCUUGGUGAUCUGUUGUUUCGGCAGCAGGGAACCAGGACCUUUACUUUGAAAAAAUUAGAGUGUUCAAAGCAGGCUCGACGCCGGAAUAUAUUAGCAUGGAAUAAUAAAAUAGGACGUGCGGUUCUAUUUUGUUGGCUUUUGGAAUCGCCGUAAUGAUUAAUAGGGACAGUCGGGGGCAUUAGUACUCACAUGCUAGAGGUGAAAUUCUUGGAUUUUGUGAAGACUAACUUCUGCGAAAGCAUUUGACAAGGAUGUUUNCAUUAA
rnacentral:rRNA from 1 species